rnacentral:rRNA from 1 species
AUUGAACGCUGGCGGCAGGCUUAACACAUGCAAGUCGAGCGGAGCGAGGGUGCUUGCACCUUAGCUUAGCGGCGGACGGGUGAGUAAUGCUUAGGAAUCUGCCUAUUAGUGGGGGCAACAUUCCGAAAGGAAUGCUAAUACCGCAUACGCCCUACGGGGGAAAGCAGGGGAACUUCGGACCCUGCGCCAAUAGAUGAGCCUAAGUCAGAUUAGCUAGUUGGUGGGGUAAAGGCCUACCAAGGCGACGAUCUGUAGCGGGUCUGAGAGGAUGAUCCGCCACACUGGGACUGAGACACGGCCCAGACUCCUACGGGAGGCAGCAGUGGGGAAUAUUGCACAAUGGGGGAAACCCUGACGCAGCGACGCCGCGUGAGUGAAGAAGGCCUUCGGGUUGUAAAGCUCUGUCGAACGGGAAAAAGUGAUGUUUAGAAUAAUAAGCUAGACAAGUGAUUGUACCGUUAGAGGAAGCACCGGCUAACUCUGUGCCAGCCGCCGCAGUAAAAC